GCAAGUUAUACAUACGAAAAAACAAGUCAAAAGAUCUAACACAGCUCUUAACAGAGGUAAACGCGGUCCUCGGCCGCAACGCUUUUUGCGAUAUUGCGAGAAGAACAACUGCUCGAAGUAAACCAUUACAACAUGGCAGAAAUCUUGUCCUCGAUCGCUUAACACGUACUAAAUCUUCCUUUCCAUUGUUUUUCAGGUUGGCGCGAAUGAUCAGUGAUUUAAAAGAUGCCAAAGACCAAGUUUUAGAAGGAGGAAUAAUGAAACCCUUUUGCACAAGGACUGAUGCGUUUCUCUUGUUCAAUUACUUGCAGUUAUCACUAUUUGUUCGCGUUGCGAAGCCUAAAAUAGAAUUGUUCCCUCAUAUAACGAAGGCAAUUGUAGUCGAGCUGGAGUUAGCAGAUGGUUAUUCUUUUCAUAAAGUUUAUGAUCAAAGUUCGUUUAGCUUGAAAUGGAUUGUAUUUGGAUUAGUUAGGGUUCUCACCUUUAAGAGAUUUCACGGUCGAGUUUUUCUCAACCUAAGACACUUUUGGAACGUAUGAUUUCUGGUGCUGUUUAUUUGACCUACGUUCGAUGACAAAGCAUUGUAAAUCAUCAUUCCGCUUGCGGAGAGGAGAAAGCAGAAGAACUGAUGUAAAAGAUCUGACAGAGAUAGAGUCAAUAAACAUUCCAGCAAAAGUAGUUUGAGUUGUGCUCUUGUCAUUAAGUUUAUAAGUUAUAAGCGGUGUUUUCACAGCAGAUAUUCGAGACUCAGUAUCCCCACCGAUAUCAAACAAAAUCGAUAGCACAGAAAUUCGAGAAGGCACGACAGGAUGUCUCAAAAUGGGUUAUUUACCAGAAUAUUGCGAGGAAUAUUGAGGGUUACAGUCCACAGCAUCAAUCAAGAGAGAUACCACUACCAUAGACAUUUUAAGGGCAUCACUAAACAGACCCGUUGGCGCCAGAACCAAAUUACCUUCGCCCAAGCGAGGAAGGAGGAAACGCUUGUUGGCGCGAAUGACUAGUGAUUUAAAAGAUGCCAAACACCAAGUUUUAGAAAGAGGAACAAUGAAGCCUUUUUGCACAAGGACUGAUGCGUUUCUCGUGUUCAAUUACUUGCAGUUGUCACUAUUUGUUCGCGUUGCGAAGCCUCAAACAAAAUUAUUCACUCGUAUAACGAAGACAAUUGUAGUCGAGCUGUAGUUUGCAGAUGAUUAUGGUUUUCAAAAAUUUUAUGAUCAAAGUUCGUUUAGCUUGACAUGGUUUGUAUUUGGGUUAGUUCUUAGUUAGAGUUCUCACUUCUAAGAGAUUUCACGAUCGAUUUUUUCUCAACCUAAGACACUUAUGGAACGUAUGAUUUAUAGUGCUGUUUAUUUGACCUACGUUCGAUGACAAAGCAUUGUAACAUUCAAGUCAAUAUUUCACUCGCGGAGAAGAGAAAGCAGAAGAACUGAUGUAAAAGAUCUGACAAAGAUAGAGUCAAUAAACAUUAUAACAAAAGUAGUUUGAGUUUUGUUCUUGUUCCUGAGUAAUUAGCAGUGUUUCCACAGCAGACAUUUGAGACUCAGUAUCCCUACCGAUGUCAAACAAAAUCGAUGGCACAGAAAUUCGAGAGGGCACGACAGGAUGUUCCAAAAUGGGUUAUUUACCAGAAUAUUGCAAAGAAUAUUAAGGGAUACAGUCCACGGCAUUUAUCAAGAGAGAUACCACUACCAUAGACAUUUUAAGAGCAUCAGUAAACAGACCCGUUGGCGCCAGAACCAAAUUACCUUCGCAUUAGCGAGGGAGGAGGAAACGCUUGUUGGCGCGAAUGAUCAGUGAUUUAAAAGAAGCCAAAGAACAAGUUUUAGAAGGAGGAAUAAUGAAGCCCUUUUGCACAAGGACUGAUGUAGUUUCUCGUGUUCAGUUACUUGUAGUUGUCACUAUUUGUUCGCGCUCCGAAGCCUAAAACAAAAUUGUUCCCUCGUAUAGCGAAGGCAAUUGUAGUCGAGCUGGAGUUUGCAGAUGAUUACGGUUU
rnacentral:lncRNA from 1 species